rnacentral:rRNA from 1 species
AGCGAACGUUAGCGGCGGGCCUAACACAUGCAAGUCGAACGCGAAAGGUCUUCGGACUGAGUAGAGUGGCGCACGGGUGAGUAACACGUAGGUAAUCUACCCUUUGGCGGGGGAUAACGUUCCGAAAGGAGCGCUAAUACCGCAUAAGACCACGGAGUCUCCGGACGCUGUGGGAAAAGGUGGCCUCUUCUUGAAAGCUACCACCGAAGGAUGAGCCUGCGUCCCAUCAGCUAGUUGGUAAGGUAAUGGCUUACCAAGGCGAAGACGGGUAGCUGGUUUGAGAGAAUGAUCAGCCACACUGGCACUGGAACACGGGCCAGACUCCUACGGGAGGCAGCAGUGAGGAAUAUCGGGCAAUGGGCGAAAGCCUGACCCAGCCACGCCGCGUGAGUGAUGAAGGCCCUCGGGUCGUAAAGCUCUGUGGAGAGGGACGAAAACCCUGGUUUCAAAUAGGCUCCAGGCUUGACGGUACCUCUUUAGCAAGCACCGGCUAACUCUGUGCCAGCA